ACCUACUUAACGUAGUGGUUAGAGUAUUACUUUCAUGCAGCGAGAGUCGUUAGUUCAAAUUUAAUAGUAGGUA
rnacentral:tRNA from 1 species